rnacentral:tRNA from 1 species
GAAGAUUUAGUUAAUUAAUAACAUUAGUUUGUCAGUCUAAAAUUAUCCUCUCGAUAUUCUUCU